GGGGUUGUGGCUCAGAGGAAGAGUGCUUGCCUUGCAUGCAUGAGGCACUGGGUUCCAUCCUCAGCACCA
rnacentral:tRNA from 1 species